rnacentral:rRNA from 1 species
UACGGGGGGUGCAAGCGUUGCUCGGAAUCACUGGGCGUAAAGCGUCCGCAGGCGGACCGAACAGUCGGUGGUGAAAGCCCAGGGCUCAACCCUGGAACUGCCAUCGAUACUGCCGGUCUUGAGUUCGGGAGAGGGAAGUGGAAUUACUGGUGUAGAGGUGAAAUUCGUAGAUAUCAGGAGGAACACCGGUUGCGAAAGCGGCUUCCUGGCCCGAAACUGACGCUCAUGGACGAAAGCGUGGGGAGCAAACAGGAUUAGAUACCCUGGUAGUCCACGCCGAAACGAUGGAUGCUAGCUGAUGGGACUUCUACCGUCUCAUUGGCGUCGCUAACGCAUUAAGCAUCCCGCCUGGGAAGUACGGCCGCAAGGCUAAA